rnacentral:rRNA from 1 species
UACGUAGGGUGCGAGCGUUGUCCGGAAUUAUUGGGCGUAAAGAGCUCGUAGGCGGCUUGUCGCGUCGGAUGUGAAAACCCAGGGCUCAACUCUGGGCCUGCAUUCGAUACGGGCAGACUAGAGUACGGCAGGGGAGACUGGAAUUCCUGGUGUAGCGGUGAAAUGCGCAGAUAUCGGGAGGAACACCAGUGGCGAAGGCGGCGAUCUGGGAAGAUACUGACGCUGAGGUGCGAAAGCGUGGGGAGCAAACAGG